UGACCCCAACUCAGGCGAGAACACCCAUUGAUUUUAAGCAUAUAAUUAAGCGGAGGAGAAGAAACUUACAAGGAUUCCCCUAGUAACGACAAGCAAACUGGGAAGACCCCAUCAUGAAAAUCAGGUGGCAGUGCCACCUGAAUUGUAGUCUAUAGAAGCAUCCUUAGCAGUGGACUAGGACCAAGUCCCCUGGAAGGGGGAGCCUGAGAUGAUGACAUCCUCGUCGGGUCGAAACCCUGUUGCACCAUGAGGCAUUGUCAGUGAGUCGGUUUGUUUCGAAAUGCAGGCCUAAUCGAGUGGUAAAUUUUGUCCAAGGCUAAAUACGGGUGAUAGACCUAUAGAGAACAAGUGUCGUGAGGGAAAUAUAAAAA
rnacentral:ncRNA from 1 species